GCCAGAUAGCGUGUUAUCUAAAUUCCAGCUGAUCGAAAGUCUUAAGUGUUGGUUUUACAUAAAAGUGUGUCUUAUUCCUAAGGGGAUGAACACAAAUUUUGGUUGACGUUUAACCAUCUAGUCUACACGAUAGCCUUACGGUACACCAAAAAUAUUUCAGCAAUCGGUGCAGUAAUUUUGGAAGUCACCCUACAAUAUCCCCAACACACAGAGAAAUGGGAAUGAAAAUUUUGGCUAUACAAACUGUGAAAAAAGAUGAAAACAAGAAAUUGUUCUCUGGUAUUUUCCUAUAUUGUUACGUUGAUUGGUAAUUUAAAUCGGCGUGGAUAAAACUCAACACUUUACUUCGCAGUAAUACAAAACUAGAUGAUUAACUAUACAGCGAUUAUGUACAGAAUAAUUCCGACUCGACUGGAAUGGGUUUGACUAGACUCUUUUCCCACAUUGGCUGGACUCCACUGACUGCCCCUCAAACUCAUAGGCAUCUAGGACGGCGUAUGGAUUUCUUUCGUAACAAUAUUAUGUAGGCUUGAAUGUAAUAAUAAAAUCCUUGUAGAUAAUAAUAAAGUAGAUUAUCAGUCUAUAAUUUGAUAAGAUUGUAUAUACAGUAUUUAAUAAUAAAAAUUCUUGUUAAUUUUAUUAUCUAAA